rnacentral:rRNA from 1 species
CAAUAGCGUAUACUAAUGUUGUUGCAGUUAAAAGCUCGUAGUCGGAUUUCAGUUUGUUUAUGCAUGAACCAUGUGUUCUUUGCGUCGACUUACUUCAUGACAGAAACAUUCAUGCUCUUAAUUGGGUGUGUUUACUUACUGUCUCUUUUACUUUGAGAAAAUUAGAGUGUUCAAAGCAGGUAUUUGCCUGAAUAUUACUCUUGGAAUAAUAAUAUAGGACUUCAGUCUUAGUUUGUUGGUGAACCGGGACCGGAGUAAUGAUUGAUAGGGACAGUUGGGGUCAUUCAUACUGCAAAGCGAGAGGUGAAAUUCUUGGACCUUUGUAUGAUGAACAACUGCGAAAGCAUUUGACUAGGAUGUUCCCGUUGAUCAAGAACGAAAGUUGGGGGAUCGAAGACGAUUAGAUACCGU